GUGUGGACCGCGUCGGAAGACCAAGGGACGGAGACGGGGGACCCAUCCGCCGGAGAUCCACCCGAUCUCCAGCACGAACCUUGAUGGUUCUUGGGGUGAAGCCCGGGCAACCGGGCCGAGCGACCUCUUGCUCGAACCCGACAGCUGACCUCGCAGGUGCGUCACAGAGAGGAACA
rfam:Mycobacterium abscessus subsp. abscessus strain 57 genome assembly, contig: ERS244815SCcontig000004